rnacentral:rRNA from 1 species
GUGGGGAAUAUUGGGCAAUGGGCGAAAGCCUGACCCAGCGACGCCGCGUGGGUGAUGAAGGCCUUCGGGUUGUAAAGCCCUUUCGUGCGGAAAGAACAGCCCUGUAGCUAAUAUCUGCAGGGUUUGACGGUACCGCAGGAAGAAGCACCGGCUAACUCCGUGCCAGCAGCCGCGGUAAUACGGAGGGUGCAAGCGUUGUUCGGAAUUAUUGGGCGUAAAGGACGCGUAGGCGGUUGUGAUAGUCAGAUGUGAAAUCCUCUGGCUCAACUGGAGAACUGCAUCUGAAACUUCACAACUAGAGUACAGGAGAGGGAAACGGAAUUCCCGGUGUAGAGGUGAAAUUCGUAGAUAUCGGGAGGAACACCAGUGGCGAAGGCGGUUUCCUGGCCUGAUACUGACGCUGAGGCGUGAAAGCGUGGGGAGCAAACAGGAUUAGAUACCCCUGUAGUCC